UAAAUAUUUAUAAUUAAACAGAGUUCAUAAGACUCUAGGAACAAGCAUCCAGGGUUUCACCUCCAAAAAGGAUGAUAUGUAGUAUCUAUAUGACUAUAGAAAAAAAUAGUCGGUUUAAGUGUGUAGAAGAACAAGAAAAUGGGAAGCAUUGCAUUAGGGAACAAGUGAGGCAGAAUAUGAUUUUUCAGAAAAAGAAGUAGACUUACGAUUUAAACAGUCACAAAUCAUCAUUAGCUCAGAAGAGGUUAAGAUUACAAAUUAAACAUCCUGUUGCAGUGUGAGCAGAAGGAUUAAUUUUCUUUUCUAGAAGCUGAUAUCAGGGAAUCUGGGGCUUCAGGCAGAACAACAGUAUUUGAAGAUAUUUAGUGGGAUAGAUUAAGAAUGCUAUUAGCUAAGUUAAUUUGGUUCUCUCUGCUUUACUUCUUUUGGCCAGGACUCUUCGCAGAAGGUGGUCAGAGAGGAGUCCAGGCUGUGUGGAUCCCACUGGAGUUGUGCUUGCCAACAGUGGGAGCGAGGAGGUUUACUGUUCAAAGAAAUGUCCAUCAACUUCCUUCUUUGCUCCAUUAUUGAAAAUUUCCCAAGUUAAAAGUUGCAGCUGGCUUCCCUCCGACCUGCUCUGAGAAGAGCUCAGCAAGCUCGUCUGCCUACAGUUCACCCGGCAGAGGCUUUCCCAUCCCUCCCCAUGGCGUGGAGCAUCGGGAAGGCAGCAUCCCCGCACACCACCCACCUCCCUCCUGCCCUCAUCAAGGUAGCGGCAACCCCAGCAGCCGCAGGCACUAAAUACGCAGUAAGGCAAUUUCUUCCUCGGUGCCUUCCGCAGGUUAUCACCAGGCUGGCAUUCUGCUGGCAUGUGUCUCGUUAGCUGAAAAGGUUGCCCACUGAGAUUAAUGAAAAGUUAUGAUAAUGCUGCUGCACCCCUCGGUUCCCCCAUGCAGCAAGAAUGGGAAUCAAAUGGAGACUUGCUCCUCCUGGGUGCAACUUUAUUGACUUCACCCAGGUUGUAACCACUGAUACUGAUGCUCAUUGUCAGUUUGCCCCCCUUUUCUUUUAAACAGCUGGUUUAAAGGGAGGAGACAGUGAACGUGAAUCAUUUUUAUUAGUGUUCAUGAUUCCUUGUGAGCUGUCAGACAGUACUGGCAAUCAGCUGUUUUUUCAUGGGGUGGCAUUUUACAGUGUGUUACCAUGGGCACAAGAUAACAGGGAGAGGGGACAGCCUUAGAGUGAAUGCAGCCACAGCAAUAACCCCAUCUCUUGCACAUUUUCUGCAGUUGCAUUAUAAAGCCUUUAAGAAUUAUGGAAAUAGUCAGCUCAGCACCAAAUAAAAAGCCUACUGUAAAUGUUUCACCCCAGGGAGCGAGGGACAGUUCUGCGUGCGUCUGCUGCAAACACAGCGAGCUGCUGAGGCUCCUGCGGUUCUGCUCCAGGUUGCUUCAGAGCUACAAGAAGGCUACCAGCAGCACAGCGUGGUUUCCAGCCCUGCAAACACUUGUGCAGCAGCACAGCACAGGUAUGACACCUGAUAGGAGUGAAUGUAGUCAAUAAUGUGCUUUGAGUUUGUGCUUUUACAUAAUUAACUCCUUUAAUUACAUAAAUACAAAACCUGCUUUUGCUGUGACAUUGUGAAUUUUGGUUGUGUUUUCUACCAGGUGAAAGGGAGUAAGAUAGCACAGGGCAGAGAAAUCCAAGGUUCAGGAAAAAUGAACAAAAGUGUGAGAAGACAACUGGGCUAUAGUAUCAACAGCUGACAAGUGAGGGGUUGUAAGCAGAGUGGUGUGGUUUAUAACAGAAACAAAGAUGCCAGCUAACAACUGACAUCACAGACUGAGCUGUCACUGCACCGCAAGUCAACUCAUCUGUUUGUUUAAUAAAGCUAAAGGUAGAUUUAAAUAAUGAAGGAUGGUAAGGGUUCCUGAAUACCACCAUCAUGUGAUGGGUCUGCAUCGAAGCUCUUGCCUCCAAUGUGUUGCUCCUCAAAAGGCCAGGCUAUGCCAGCCCUUUGUGCUUCUUCCUGUGGCACUGCCAAAGCCUGAGUUCCUCCUGCUGAUGCCUCCUCAAUCAAAGACCGAUCUCAUUGACUUCAGAUGAGUUAUGACAGCGAUAUUGUAUAUUUUGAAAAAGGCCACAAGAUUUGUAUCUUAAAAAUUUAUCUUAGUUUUGCAGUUGCUUUAUUAGUGGUUGUCUCAUGUAGAGCAUCAUUAAAUCAUGCUGGCA